rnacentral:rRNA from 1 species
UGCAAGUCGAGCGGUAACAGAGAUAGCUUGCUAUCUGCUGACGAGCGGCGGACGGGUGAGUAAUGCUUGGGAAUAUGCCUUAUGGGGGGGGACAACAGUUGGAAACGACCGCUAAUACCGCAUAACGUCUACGGACCAAAGGAGGGGAUUCUUCGGAACCUUUCGCCAUUUGAUUAGCCCAAGUGAGAUUAGCUAGUAGGUGAGGCAAAGGCUCACCUAGGCGACGAUCUCUAGCUGGUUUGAGAGGAUGAUCAGCCACACUGGGACUGAGACACGGCCCAGACUCCUACGGGAGGCAGCAGUGGGGAAUAUUGCACAAUGGGGGAAACCCUGAUGCAGCCAUGCCGCGUGUGUGAAGAAGGCCUUCGGGUUGUAAAGCACUUUCAGUUGUGAGGAAAGGGAUGUAGUUAAUAACUGCAUUCUGUGACGUUAACAACAGAAGAAGCACCGGCUAACUUCGUGCCAGCAGCCGCGGUAAUACGAGGGGUGCAAGCGUUAAUCGGAAUUACUGGGCGUAAAGCGUUCGUAGGCGGUUAUUUAAGCAAGAUGUGAAAGCCCAGGGCUCAACCUUGGAACUGCAUUUUGAACUGGGUAACUAGAGUACUGUA